rnacentral:lncRNA from 1 species
GGGUACUGCUGAAUGUGGAAAUCGUAAUUGUUCAGGAGAAGAUCCUAGAAUGAAAAAAUGUUGAGAGAGUGUCCAGAAAAAAAAAGGUGGUCGAGGUUAGCUGUCCUUCUGUACGGGCUUGCCUAAAAUGUGGUCUAACAAUUGAACACAUGGAAGCCUACAAGCAAAUGGAAUGUCCAUGUGGACAGAAAUUUUGUUUUAUUUGCCUGAAAAUGGCUACUGAAAGAGGAUAAUACACCUGUGGAGCCUGGAACUUUAAAUGUGUUAAGGCGCCAGUGCAGACUCAGCUUCAUUGAUUACCAAUGUGAUAGAUGUACAAAAGUCAGGUGAUUCCAGUUCAAUUUAUCAAAAAAUGUUUUG